AGAGUUUGAUCCUGGCUCAGGAUGAACGCUGGCGGCGUGCCUAAUACAUGCAAGUCGAGCGAACAGAUGAGAAGCUUGCUUCUCUGAUGUUAGCGGCGGACGGGUGAGUAACACGUGGGUAACCUACCUAUAAGACUGGGAUAACUCCGGGAAACCGGGGCUAAUACCGGAUAAUAUUUUGAACCGCAUGGUUCAAUAGUGAAAGACGGUUUCGGCUGUCACUUAUAGAUGGACCCGCGCCGUAUUAGCUAGUUGGUAAGGUAACGGCUUACCAAGGCGACGAUACGUAGCCGACCUGAGAGGGUGAUCGGCCACACUGGAACUGAGACACGGUCCAGACUCCUACGGGAGGCAGCAGUAGGGAAUCUUCCGCAAUGGGCGAAAGCCUGACGGAGCAACGCCGCGUGAGUGAUGAAGGUCUUCGGAUCGUAAAACUCUGUUGUUAGGGAAGAACAAAUUUGUUAGUAACUGAACAAGUCUUGACGGUACCUAACCAGAAAGCCACGGCUAACUACGUGCCAGCAGCCGCGGUAAUACGUAGGUGGCAAGCGUUAUCCGGAAUUAUUGGGCGUAAAGCGCGCGUAGGCGGUUUCUUAAGUCUGAUGUGAAAGCCCGCGGCUCAACCGGGGAGGGUCAUUGGAAACUGGGGAACUUGAGUGCAGAAGAGGAGAGUGGAAUUCCACGUGUAGCGGUGAAAUGCGUAGAGAUGUGGAGGAACACCAGUGGCGAAGGCGACUCUCUGGUCUGUAACUGACGCUGAGGAGCGAAAGCGUGGGGAGCGAACAGGAUUAGAUACCCUGGUAGUCCACGCCGUAAACGAUGAGUGCUAAGUGUUAGGGGGUUUCCGCCCCUUAGUGCUGCAGCUAACGCAUUAAGCACUCCGCCUGGGGAGUACGACCGCAAGGUUGAAACUCAAAGGAAUUGACGGGGACCCGCACAAGCGGUGGAGCAUGUGGUUUAAUUCGAAGCAACGCGAAGAACCUUACCAAAUCUUGACAUCCUUUGACCGCUCUAGAGAUAGAGUCUUCCCCUUCGGGGGACAAAGUGACAGGUGGUGCAUGGUUGUCGUCAGCUCGUGUCGUGAGAUGUUGGGUUAAGUCCCGCAACGAGCGCAACCCUUAAGCUUAGUUGCCAUCAUUAAGUUGGGCACUCUAGGUUGACUGCCGGUGACAAACCGGAGGAAGGUGGGGAUGACGUCAAAUCAUCAUGCCCCUUAUGAUUUGGGCUACACACGUGCUACAAUGGAUAAUACAAAGGGCAGCGAAUCCGCGAGGCCAAGCAAAUCCCAUAAAAUUAUUCUCAGUUCGGAUUGUAGUCUGCAACUCGACUACAUGAAGCUGGAAUCGCUAGUAAUCGUAGAUCAGCAUGCUACGGUGAAUACGUUCCCGGGUCUUGUACACACCGCCCGUC
rnacentral:rRNA from 1 species